UAGAACGUUUUUACAACGGUCCGUGUCUC
rnacentral:sRNA from 1 species